CAACUGCCUCUCAUCUAGAAACAGUCCAGCAAUGGUUCCAACACCAAACUGCCCAACAAUAGGAGGGGAGAAAGGCCAUGGUCAUCACCAUGUGUGGCCUAAAUUACAGAAGAAAUUCAGUGGAAAGGAAAUGCCUACGUAAUUCCUUUACUCUGCUUCUACAGGGAAGAAAACGACCUGAAUGUAUCUUACGAAGACACCAACAAGCGCAAGUUACCACAUUGGCAGCUAUUUUCAUUUUUGUUCCCCAAAUCAAAAUGAAACAAUUGGUAACAAGAAAUUCAAAGUGCAGCAAAGAGGAUAACAAGAAGGUUUUUUUCUGAUGCACCUUUGACCUUUCUAAAAGUUAAUUAUUUUCUCUCAUUCAUAUACUUUUUUGUCUUAAGUUUCUCCCAUGAUUUUAUUCAGGAAAAAAUGAAAGACCUUCCUUGAGGGAGGGAGAUAAAGACUAGCCAAAGAGACGACUGACACCUUCACCAGAGACUGGAUUCCAGUCCAAGAAUUGGCACUCGGCAACCACAAAGUACACUCAAAGUCUAACAUGUCCAAUAGAGUGAAGGAAGAAAAAAAAGACAGAAGGAGCUGACUCCU
rnacentral:lncRNA from 1 species